AAACACGUGGAGUACCGGAAGUGCUGAUUUGUGUUAACGUGUUUGACAUUUAGUACCGUUACAUUUUCUAAUAAGCGUAAUGAAUUCCGUUUUAGUUGAUGCUCUUUUAUUGCAGUGCCACGACCCAUGCGCUCUGGUCGAGAUUUUAAGCUGGGAUUCAAAAUGUGACAGUAUACCAGAAAGAGAGACGGUGGACGCUUUGCAUUUUGCUAUCAAAAAAGUAAAGAGCCUGCAGCAGCAGCAGAUGUUCGAAGUAGGGGACAAAGCAGAUGAUAACCUCACAGUAAAGUGGAUACCUUUUCGUAAGAAGCUGGAGGAUAUCGUUUGCAGUCGAUGUUUGCCGCUGCUGAGUAAACUUUGUUAUACAGAAGAGCAGAACAAUGGUGCUCUUAGUAGAAAUGCGGGUCUGAUGCGCGCUCUCUGUGAUUUAAUCAGCUGCUGUGCCGAACUGUGUGGGAAUGACCUAACUGAAAAACUCGCCGCUGUCGCUGUGCCUGUGCUCCUGUCAUCCGGCGAUAACGAGAGUCUGGAAGCGACAAGCCACUUUGAUGUAGACACGGCUAUUGAGGUCAUAGCCUGUGCAGUACCAUUCCUGCGUCCCGAGCAGAUUCAUGUGGUGGACAAGGUGCAAAGCGCAGCUGUCACUUGCAUAAAGACAGGCAAGGACGCAGUCGUGUCAAAGGUUGUGGUAAAGCUACUGUUUUCUCUGUUAAAUAAUAAUCAUCUGAAGAAGUCAAGUGUAAUCCGGAUCUGGGAGAGCUUGAACGCGUGGCAGGCAGUAGAUAACAGCCCAGGAGCCACAACACGCAUUUUGCUUUGUUUGACUGCACUUUCUGACUACCUGCUUCCCAGCGCAGACACAGAUGCAACAGAAACCAUUGACCUGCGUGUUUCCGAAGGUUUCUGGGAGUUGGUGCAGAAAGGGUUGACGCAUCGGGAUAACGUGUCGCGAAAAAGGGCUUUGUAUUUGCUGAAGAGAUCUGUAGCGGUUUCAGAGGAGAUGAAAAGUGCCUUCCAAAGUUGCCAAUCCACUGAUAAUGCUGUCAGCCUGUUCUGGUGGUCCCCAGAGAGGAAUCGUCUGAUUGUGGACUUUUGGGAAGAUUACAUGCUGAUAAUGGAGACCUUGGAUGAAACCCAAAUUCAUCUUGUGAUGCCUGUUUUGCACAAGAUAAACAAACUAAUUGAGGCAACUGUUUCAGAAAGCCAAGACUGCCCACUCUUCCAUAUCUCCUGGCUCAUCUGUGUGUACAGAAGGAUGUUUGAUAGUGAAAAUAAAGCAGUGAUGAAGGAAGGUGUCUUGCAUCUUUUGAGUCUUCACGUGAUGAAAUAUCCUGUGUUUUCACAAGGGUUUGCUGAGUUCAUUGUCGGCCCAUUCGUGGAUAUUCUUUCUGAAAGCACACUGUUUAACAGGUCUGCUGACCAAGAGAUUGGGAGCUGCCCUGAAAUCAGUGUGAAGCUGCAAAAGUUUUUAGUAACAUUUACCUCCAGUUUGCCAGAAGAAAACAAAGGGAGGUUUUUGCUGCAGAUGGUUCAAAACCUGGCCAAUAGGCAUUGGUGUGCUGUGCCUAUUCUUUUCAUCUCUCAAGCACUGGCACAGGUUAAGGGAUGCAGAGCCUUUGGGGUGGAAGGCCUACACGCUCUUAGAGAAGUUUUGCGUUCCACUAUGAUCACACAUCAAGUCCUGAUGAGGGGAGCAGCCCAGUGUUACCUUCUCCAGACCGCUUUGAACUUGACACAUGUGCAAAUGGUAACCCUUGAAGAUGUUGCAAACUUCAUACAGCAUUUUAAAACAGACGAGUCUUUAAGUAGAGGAACAUUACUCUGGACUCAGCUUUGUGAUUGGCUGCAUGUCAAUGACAGUGUUUUCAAACCUAUGGAAGGUGUAUCUGUGUCUCAGCCAGGCAGGCCUGCAGUGAGUGUGUACGUACAGCACCUUGUGGAGGCGUACAUGAAGGUGCCUGCGGGAGAAGGAAACAGCUGCUUUAUGCCAGAUUGGUUUGAAGCUGAGCUUGUUGCUAAAAUGGUUCUUUUGGCUUCUGAUGUGGAGGAGAUACAGGGGCUGGAGAGUGAAACACAUAAACCGAAGCAGAAAGGACUGGAGCAGCUUUUGUACCCUCUUCUUGACGCUCUGCGGAGGCUCAGCACUAAUGUCUACCUGCCUGUCCUGAAGACUGACAAGAGCCUGCAGCUUCUCUUCAAACUGCUACACAUCUCAUACACUACAAGCAGCCCCAAGAGCCAUGAUACUGUCUUAACUACUUUGCAAGAUUGCAUACUUUCCACCACUGAUGAGGUUCUGGAAUAUAUUCUUCGGAGGCUCACCAGUGAGUUGUGUUUGCUUUCAGACCUGGGCCGCUGCUGUUUGUAUAUCUCAGUCUUGCGCGAGCUGGUGAAGCUGUACUCCGUGGUGGGCUGGAGAAGGGGAUCCCGCUUCUGGAGUUUCAUUAAAUCAUUAACAAAGAACUCUCUUUUGAACCUCCAAGCAAACCACACUGAGCAGGACCCACAGCUAGUGACACAAAUUCAGAAAGUCGUCAGCAUGUCCUCUUUGGCCUGGGUGUGUGAGGUCGCCAGUCAUAACACAGACCUUCAGAUUGUCUCGACUGAUGCUGUCAAAGCACUAAUAAACUACAUCUCAUCUGCAAAGCUAAACCAAACAUUAAUGAAGCCUGCAGCCUGCGAAGAGAGUCAGGGUCCACAAGAUGGCGCUACAUUACAAGGCUGGGGCAGAGUGGCAGCACAGUGUGUGCACGAUCAGUGGGCCUGUUUGCAUUUUGUAUUGAACAAAUUUGCCAAACUCCUGCCUUCAUCUUCAGACAUCCAGGCAAACGGAGAUCUUCAGAAUUCCAUGCCUGCUGUUUCCUGCCCCUCUAUGACUCUGCAGUGUGCAGUGGAAGCCCUGGCUAUCUUACCCUCUGACCAGGUCCUGCCUGUGUUGUCUUGCAUGAAGAUACUUGUUCCAAAGAUUUGGCGUUCAGACGCAUCACUGUGUGUUGAAUCUAUGAACCUGGCUUGGAAAGUUGUCAAAGACCUUAACAGCAAUCCACAGGACUUUUGGACAACCCUUGAAGCCUUCAUCCAAUUUGUCUUUGAUGCCAACCUCCUUCGUAUCACUGUUGAAGAUGGAUGCCUUAUUACUACAAAAGUGAAGGAGAUGGCUUCAAAAUUAAUCGACAUGUCUCACACAAAGACAGGAGUCUUUAACACACUGAUGAAACACUGCUGUCAGACGUGGAUGCCCUCUGUUUGUGAUGUAGACGGUCCUGUAGAUGAUUCGUUCACAAGCGCUCUAAAUCAUAUCGAGCUUUUCGCCGAGGCUUGUGUUUAUGGACCUGUUUUCAGGAGAGACCAACGGUUAAUUCAAGAUGUGCAUGCUUUCAUCCAGCAGCUUGGAGAAGACUGUGCUGCAAAUUUAGCCAUAACAAGUGAUAACAGAGAUGACCAGUAUCCACGGGUCUGUGCCAUUAACUUCUUGUGCCACUUGGAUCCGUUAAACCAGCUGCAUAAAGCAUUCAUGGAACAGCUUGCUCUCAGACUGCUUAAAAAGGAUGAAGAGGUGGCCAAAUCUAAAGUGCGAUACUAUACAAACUCUCUUCAACACAGAGUCAAGAACAGACUGUGGCAAACGCUCCUUGUUCUUCUUCCAAAACUCGAAGAGACGUUUGUUGUGGGAAUCCUUGACAAGGUGUACCAGGCUGGGUUCUGUAACAAUCAGGCUUCUGUGAAAUACCUGAUCGAGUGGUUUCUCAUGCUGACUCUCUACUGCUACCCCGAGCAGCUUCACACUUUCUGGGACUGCUUCCGUUACGAUCAAGAGAAAUCUAAAACCAGCAUCUGCACAUUUCUUUCUGUUUUAACGCACUUUGAUAUCCUUCUUGAGAAUGUCAUUGACAAGAGGACACACCUGAAGAAGGCUCUGGAUGUCAUUCUGCUCUGGUGUUUCAAUCACAAUUUCGCGGUUCGGCUGUACGCCUUGUUGGCCCUGAAAAAGGUCUGGAAUGUGUGCAGAUCAGCCUGCUCUGAAGAUGUGGAGUUUAAAGUUCUGGCACCAGUUAUUGAGGCUUGUCUGCAGCAAGUGGAAUACAUGCAGGGCUCUGGAAAUGCUAUGAAGAAUUGGCAGAGAAUUCAAGAACAUUUCUUUUUUGGGACAUUUCAUCCACUUAAGGACUACAGUAUAGAGUCGAUAUUCUACACCUUUCCCAGCCUGUCGGAUCUUGCGGACGAUGAAUGGAUUCCAUUGUGGAAGUUUUCAGAACUAGUGGAAUUUCCCACUAAUUCAUCAGUUUCAUUGAAUAAUCCUCGGAAAGAGCUUGGCGACCUGGAAACAGGAGAUUGGGUUCAGCAGGACAAAGGGGAGUGUGAGAAUGAUGCCCAGUGGAUAGACGUGCAGAAGAAGAUAAUCCCCUGGAAGAACAGCAUCCCUGAUCAGGACCUGGAGCUCCUGUACCAGGAACGAGCUGCCAGGCUGGGGAAGUUCAGCAACGCUCUCAUUGUAGUGGCUUCACUGAUCGACAAACCAACUAACCUGGGAGGUUUAUGUCGAACAUGUGAAAUCUUCGGGGCUUCUGCUUUGGUUGUCAGUGGCCUGCAUUAUAUAAAUGAUAAGCAGUUCCAGUCUCUCAGUGUUUCGUCUGAACAUUGGCUUCCCCUUGUGGAGGUAAAACCACCUCAGCUGAUUAACUAUCUACAGCAGAAGACAGCAGAAGGCUACACUAUCGUAGGUGUGGAACAGACAGCUAAGAGCCAGAGUCUCACGGAGUACACCUUUCCUGAGAAAACCUUACUGUUGCUCGGCCAUACUGCUGCAGAACACUGGACACAGCUUCGUGGUAGAUAUGAAUAGAGCGAAGGCCAGGCAAUCGCUGACGACGGGGAUGUCAAUGUCUUGUUGACGGAGCUGUAAAAGUUUUAACGGAGGUCCAGUCUGUUUAAUGGAGACGCGAAUAAAGUUAAUGGAGCUACGCUUUGAACAGUGCUGUUGCUGGGCUGGAUACUGGACAGAGCAGGAAAGACUAACGUUGGAGCUCCUGCAGCAAAAUAGAGAAACUGAAUGAUAAGCAUCACCUGAUAAUGAGCGUGAAGGGAUCCCGGCGAACCUGCUGCAGCACCUGGCCGUGUGCGUGGAAAUCCCUCAGCACGGCGUCACGCGAUCUCUCAACGUGCACGUGAGCGGCGCUCUGCUCAUCUGGGAGUACACGCACC